AGCGAACGCUGGCGGCAGGCCUAACACAUGCAAGUCGAACGAACUCUUCGGAGUUAGUGGCGGACGGGUGAGUAACACGUGGGAACGUGCCUUUUGGUUCGGAAUGACUCAGGGAAACUUGUGCUAAUACCGAAUGUGCCCUUCGGGGGAAAGAUUUAUCGCCAUUAGAGCGGCCCGCGUCUGAUUAGCUAGUUGGUGAGGUAACGGCUCACCAAGGCGACGAUCAGUAGCUGGUCUGAGAGGAUGACCAGCCACACUGGGACUGAGACACGGCCCAGACUCCUACGGGAGGCAGCAGUGGGGAAUCUUGCGCAAUGGGCGAAAGCCUGACGCAGCCAUGCCGCGUGAAUGAUGAAGGUCUUAGGAUUGUAAAAUUCUUUCACCGGGGACGAUAAUGACUGUACCCGGAGAAGAAGCCCCGGCUAACCUCGUG
rnacentral:rRNA from 1 species